rnacentral:rRNA from 1 species
GACGAACGCUGGCGGCGUGCUUAACACAUGCAAGUCGAGCGGUAAGGCCCUUUCGGGGGUACGACGAGCGGCGAACGGGUGAGUAACACGUGGGUGACCUGCCCUCAGCUCUGGGAUAAGCCUGGGAAACUGGGUCUAAUACUGGAUAUGACUCCACGGUGCAUGUCGUGGGGUGGAAAGCCUUGUGCGGCUGAGGAUGGGCCCGCGGCCUAUCAGCUUGUUGGUGGGGUGAGGCCUACCAAGGCGACGACGGGUAGCCGGCCUGAGAGGGCGACCGGCCACACUGGGACUGAGACACGGCCCAGACUCCUACGGGAGGCAGCAGUGGGGAAUCUUGCGCAAUGGGCGAAAGCCUGACGCAGCGACGCCGCGUGAGGGAUGACGGCC